CACGUGUAGGGACUUGCACUGCAUAAAGCUCCCCCGCUGACGGAGGAGAAGCUACCAGUCUAUUCAGCAAAGACGUGCCAUCCCCUCUGGCUUUAUCUUGUGUGGAAGGAGGAUUCGUUUCCCAGCAGGACGAUGAGCCCAAACAUGCAGUGAAGUCUGUUUGAAGACCAGAGAGGAGCAGCAGCAGCAGUGCUGACAUGGACUGCUUUACCUCCACCGUCACCAGACUUCAACCUCACUGAACAGACGGUCAACUGUGAUUACUGUAAAAGCUUCCAGUUGGCCUGAAUAUCUUCACUCUCCUCCAGCGUGUCACCUUUUUCUCCUUUGAUUCAUCCAGAUGUGUCACCUUGUACAGACUGAAGGCGUAUAGGAGAGGAUAUCUGGAGCCAAAAUGAGAAAUAGGAAGGCGCCAGUUGUGGGAAUAAACCUGGACGUUUGGUGAUAUAAUUGAAUACCCUCUGUGGUGUCCAGCAUCAUGUCUUUAGGCGCGAAUAUACCACCAGAAUGACCGUAUAAACCCAAACCCCACAGGACAAAUGAGUGAGCAAAUAACACACAACAAACGGAACAUGAUUACAGCAAAGAAAAAGGUGUGCAAAAGCGUUUUUUUUUUUGUUGUUUUUUUAACAGCUGUCCUCUUUCCUCCUCCUUUCCCAGCUCUCCCUCCUCUGCUCCAGGGGAGAGACCAAUGGGAGAGAGUGCUGAGGCGGGAUAAUUGAUAGAUGCACUGGCUAUCCUUAUCGAUCAGGUCUGUAUUGACCCGACCAAAUACAUUGAGAUGGAGUGUGGAAUUCAACACAGAUGCAAAGACGAAUUGUUUUCAUCGUUAAUGCGAUCUUUAAAUGCCUCCACCAACCUCACUCUGCACAAGUCUUUCUUAUUUUGUGCAGCUUUAACAAUGAAGUAUUUAUUUGUACAGUAGAAUGCAUGAUGCUCAGUAAAAUAAAAGACAUGCAAGCUUGGUCUGCAUUCAUGUACGAGGAGUA